rnacentral:siRNA from 1 species
AAGCAACUACUGAUAAUGGUGCUC